UACGUAGGGGGCAAGCGUUGUCCGGAUUUAUUGGGCGUAAAGAGCGUGUAGGCGGCCAUACAGGUUCGUUGUGAAAACUCGAGGCUUAACCUCGAGACGUCGAUGGAAACCGUAUGGCUAGAGUCCGGAAGAGGAGAGUGGAAUUCCUGGUGUAGCGGUGAAAUGCGCAGAUAUCAGGAAGAACACCCGUGGCGAAGGCGGCUCUCUGGGACGGUACUGACGCUGAGACGCGAAAGCGUGGGGAGCGAACAGG
rnacentral:rRNA from 1 species